UACGUAGGGUGCAAGCGUUAAUCGGAAUUACUGGGCGUAAAGCGUGCGCAGGCGGUGAUGUAAGACAGGUGUGAAAUCCCCGGGCUUAACCUGGGAACUGCAUUUGUGACUGCAUCGCUGGAGUGCGGCAGAGGGGGAUGGAAUUCCGCGUGUAGCAGUGAAAUGCGUAGAUAUGUGGAGGAACACCGAUGGCGAAGGCAGCCCCCUGGGUCAAAACUGACGCUCAUGCACGAAAGCGUGGGGAGCAAACGGG
rnacentral:rRNA from 1 species